rnacentral:rRNA from 1 species
CCUACGGGAGGCAGCAGUGAGGAAUAUUGGUCAAUGGGCGGGAGCCUGAACCAGCCAAGCCGCGUGAGGGAAGAAGGUACUGCGUAUCGUAAACCUCUUUUGUCAGGGAACAAAGGCGGGGACUAGUCCCCGGAUGAGGGUACCUUAAGAAAAAGCAUCGGCUAACUCCGUGCCAGCAGCCGCGGUAAUACGGAGGAUGCGAGCGUUGUCCGGAUUUAUUGGGUUUAAAGGGUGCUCAGGGGGCCUGUUAAGUCAGCGGUAAAAGGCCGGGGCUCAACCCCGGAGAGCAGUUGAAACUGGCGGGCUGGAGUUGGAGAGAGGUACGCGGAAUGCGCGGUGUAGCGGUGAAAUGCUUAGAUAUAGCGAAGAACCCCGAUUGCGAAGGCAGCGUACGGGCUCCACACUGACGCUGAGGCACGAAAGCGUGGGUAUCGAACAGGAUUAGAUACCCUUGUAGUC